rnacentral:lncRNA from 1 species
CUCAAAUCUGCUAAAAUAAAAAUACUACUUUCAAUAAGAACUAAAUUCAGAAAGCUGUUUAAGCCCUUGCUUAGCUCUGGCACAUGCUUACCAUUUGUUGCACGGGUACUUAAUUCACUCUCACUUAAUGUGUCAUUCUGGAAUAGAGACAUUUCUCAGAUUCGAAGUUGAACUACUGCGAAGUUUAGCCUCUGAGGUGAAUGUUUUGGAAGGUUAAUAGCCUGUGGAAAUAGAGGAGCCCUAUGUUAUGUUUAGUACUCACUUUGGCUGAAAGAUGAAAUAGACUCUCUUCACCCAGCCGCUAAAAUGCAGCCACCUGUGGGGAGUAAUGUGCCAGCUCUUUAGUGCAACAGUGCAAAACCAUUUAAGAGAGAAGUGAAGCGUUAUGCCUCAGUCCAAAGGGAGUGUUUGCCAUUGUUGUUACUGAACAGCACGACAUUUUUUUUCUGGGUGGAAGGCACUGUCUGUGUAAUGCUGUAUUUCAAAAGGAUUUGGGUUUGGAUACACAGGAAAUGGGAUCGUGUCAUCAGUUAAUCAAUAACUCAGCGUGAUGGACUGGUCUCCCUACUUAGCACUGGAAGAAACCAGCAGAGGCAAGAACACGGACACAGUGAAUGUUACUUAAUGAGCAGUAACAAAGGGACAUCUAUUUUUUUUUUUUUUUCACCAUUUUAUGGCUAAAAAGAAUACCAUAAUGACUGGAUGGGAUCUACACUGAAACUAAUAACAAAACCAUUAUAAUGAUUUCAGGAUACCUAAUACUUUUCAUUCAUUUCAUAAGUGCAUGCAGCAGUUAAUCAUCACUGAGUCAUUUUGGAACUCCAGUGGACACAUAAUGAUGGGAAGCAGCAAAAUGAGAAGAGGAGCUGGGCCAGAAGCUGGACAGCAUGCCUACCUGAGUUUUGUAGAAGUCAGAGGGAAAUGCUACAGGACACACGUUAAAGACUAUGAGAACUCUGGUAGCUCAGCAUACUUUGUUUUAGCUCUGACCAGCAACCAGGGAGAACACGUCCAUAUCUAA